rnacentral:rRNA from 1 species
UACGGAGGGUGCGAGCGUUGUCCGGAAUCACUGGGCGUAAAGGGCGCGUAGGUGGUUCUGUGUGCUCCGCGUGAAAUCGCCCGGCUCAACCGGGCGGGGUCGCGGAUGACUACAGGACUGGAGCCUGGGAGGGGGAAGCGGAAUUCCCGGUGUAGUGGUGGAAUGCGUAGAUAUCGGGAGGAACACCAGUGGCGAAGGCGGCUUCCUGGACCAGAGCUGACACUGAGGCGCGAAAGCGUGGGGAGCGAGUCCGG